rnacentral:rRNA from 1 species
CCUACGGGUGGCAGCAGUGAGGAAUAUUGGUCAAUGGACGAGAGUCUGAACCAGCCAAGUAGCGUGAAGGAUGACUGCCCUAUGGGUUGUAAACUUCUUUUAUAUGGUCAUAAAACAGGGUAUGCAUACCCUCUUGUAUGGACCAUAUGAAUAAGGAUCGGCUAACUCCGUGCCAGCAGCCGCGGUAAUACGGUGGAACAGAGCGUUAUCCGGAUUUAUUGGGUUUAAAGGGGGCGUAGGUGGAUUGUUAAGUUAGUUGUGAAAGUUUGCGGCUCAACCGUAAAAUUGCAGUUGAAACUGGCAGUCUUGAGUGCAGUAGAGGUAGGCGGAAUGCGUGGUGUAGCGGUGAAAUGAUUAGAUAUCACGAAGAACUCCGAUUGCGAAGGCAGCUCACUGGACUGCAACUGACACUGAUGCUCGAAAGUGUGGGUAUCAAACAGGAUUAGAUACCCUUGUAGUC